CAGUUGUGAUGUCUAACUCAGGGGACAGUACAUCCUGGUUUGCCCCAGAUGGUCCCUGCUGCCCUGACAUCCCUUUAACAUUGUCCCAUUUACUCUCUAAAGUGUCUCCGUUUGAACAAUAAAUGACACAGUCACUCCACAUGUGUGAAAGUCUAACUCACAGGAGGCUCUAAACAAGUAGCACCAUCUAGUAUCAGAAGAAGAGGCAUUCAGGACAGGACCACGGGUUUGGUAAAGGCUUUCUGUCACCGGGAGGUGAAGGCUGAGCCACAGUUAACAGCUUUGGCUACAAACCAGAAAGAACCAUUUGUGUGCGGAGUGUGGAAAGGAGGAUAAAUCACGUGCUGGUUGGAGUGUGCAGAACUCUCCCUUCUCACGGCAAGUGUCUUGAACAUUUUCUGCAUCAGAAUCAGCCCCGUUUGCCAGAAGUACAGUAUCCAAGACCCCUACCCAGACCUACUGAAGACAAUCGUUCAGGAUGGAGCACAGAGGACCCUAAUUUUUAAAUACCAUCCCUGGUGAUUCUCUGCUCAUUCACUAGAACCGGUGGCUGCAACCUCAGGGCACUUGUGAUUCAGCUUGGACAGGAAGAAAGGAGGCCCAACCAGCUAGGGCCCAGCACACUGCCUUUACCUACUAAUAUUUAUCACCAAAUGUGGAUUCAGGAGCAAUCCUGAGACUCUUGAACACUUUUUCUCUUAUCUCCUUAAAUAUUGAACUCAAUGACGCCUUCCCGUCUUCGAAUCAACUAAAAUGAAAGUGUAAUUAUUCUCUGUG